UUUAGGAUCCUGUGAAAUAGAGUAUUCUAUAAAUAGCUAAGUGGUUAGAUGUCUAAUUGUUUUGUGACUUUA
rnacentral:tRNA from 1 species